CCCUUAGAUGUUCUGGGCCGCACGCGCGCUACACUGAUGCAUUCAAUGAGUCUAAAACCUGGUCUGAUAGGGCUGGGUAAUCUUUUGAAUGUGCAUCGUGAUUGGGAUAGAUGAUUGCAAUUCUUCAUCUUCAACGAGGAAUGCCUAGUAAACGCAAGUCAUCAGCUUGCAUUGAUUACGUCCCUGCCCUUUGUACACACCGCCCGUCGCUCCUACCGAUUGAAUGUUCCGAUGAAUACCAUGGACUGAGAGUAUGAAUGGGUUCGCCUAUUUCUGCUUCUCGGGAAGUGGAGUAAAUCUUAACAUUUAGAGGAAGGAGAAGUCGUAACA
rnacentral:rRNA from 1 species